UACUGACAUCAGUGGCCACAUGCUGUGUGGAAGAAAAGUUCAGCCCAGGAACACCACAGACACACCCACCAACUUUUAAGGCCCAUAUUUUCUACAGCAUGUUUUCAGUCUCCUACUUUUAAGCAGAUAUGCUUGGAAGAGUAGAAUAUUUAAAUCAACUGUUCAGAGAACAGUCAAG